ACCACAUUUGCAUGUCUUGGCACAUCUGUGAGGUCGCAGAUCAUACAACGGACCUGUGAGUCCUGCCGCAGCUUGUCUGCGGUCUCUCUGUGUGCAAGGGAAGCAUUAGCCAAGUUCAAGGCAUGAGCGGGGAAAACCCAGGUGCCUGAGGGCAGAAUCACCGGGGUGCGGUAUUAACCAGCCAGGUGCUGUGCGAGGUGGAGGGGAGACAGCUGUGACUCAGAGGGCUCAGGAGGGAUCUGGAAGGUGUUCAGAGAUUUGGGCGGACUCCCCACGCUCCUAGUCACUGAGCCCAUGGCUUCAGUUCACUUCCUGGAGAUGUUCAUUCCUGAGUAAUUCUAGGAAGUGCUGCACCAGAUGGAGAGCUGGGAUGGGUAUUCCUGCCCCAUCACCUGGCUGAGGAUGGAUGACCUGCAGAACUUCGUGGAACCUUGGUCACUGUGGCCUGGGACCCUGAGCAGGAAGAUGGGACUGUCAGGCACGGAGGCAAAAUUCUUCAUGUUGUAAGCUCAGUUUGCUGGUCAUGUGACAUUGGAAGACAAAGAGUGAAAGGCUCAGGGUCAUAUAUUUUCUUCUUAACUAAGCUCUAAACUCUUGAAGGCAAGGCUCUAACUUGGAUUUCUUUUGCAUCCUCCUUGGUAUUUGGCUCUGCAGACAAUCAAUGCUCUAUAAAUAACUGAUUAUUAGCUGCCCAGACAAGUUUCCUGCUGUAGAAAGCUCCAUCACAUUCCAAAACACCAGUAUCAAAAGUUAUGCUGGGGGUGGGGGAAAUCUCUUGAGCACAGAAAUUGUACCAGAAUUCCCUCUGUGUUAGCCUAGAGUUCCUAAGGUGGGUCGUCCUCAUUUUAUGAACUUCCAGACGUAUUCUGUUAUAAAGGAGAUUAUAAAAGCAUUAUGGUGGGUUUCUACGGUGCUUAGCUUUCAGUUAAAUAUUACAUCUCUUUGAUCCAUAUGUCUAGUUCAAUGUUCUUAUCCUUGACUUUGGUCUUAGAAAAAUCGUUUUCUCAGAGUUGUUUUUGCUUCCCUCCUGGCUGAGACGAACUGUUCUGUCUCUCCAGGACAAAAAAAAAGUAGGAUUCAGGUUUUUGGGGACCUGUAGCUCCUAUGAUAUGGGAGGACAUCCUUAGGAAGAGUACAAAAUGAUGAAUUAGUAAGAAUUGACUCUGCAUGUAGAAUAAGAAGUAGAUCAGCAAGUUGCCCUUACUUCUGAGAUCUCAUACUUAGUAGAAAUACUUCUCAAUCCCAACUCCGCUGCUCCCAGCACCCUCGGGGGAAGCAAGGGACCCUGGGAUGAAGCUUUGUCAGCUUCGGGAUGAAUCUGCCUCGGACGGGAGACUGCGAUUUGUGUUCCAGAAAUAUUUCCUGAACACCUGGCAUGUCACUUUCAGGCACCUUAUUUUAGGAAAGUCAGGGGCUUUAUCUGAUGGACCGUCUUGAUUCUCCAGCCAGUUCCUGAGUAAGAGAACGUCAGAGCAGUAACGUGGAGUGGAUGUCACGACCGCUGAGGCGGGCAGGACAAAGGUGCGCCCACCCUUGGGAAUCUGCCCUACACCCCGAAGGGGUCUCUGCCCAGCUAGCUUGUGAGUCAGCUUGAUCUCUAGGAGGAGGUGAUGGGGGCAGAACUACUGUGUCUGUAAAUCAGAGUCACUAUUACUGAUGAGUUUGCAAAUCUAGAGAUAGGGAGGGUGGGACAGGUACCCAAGUCUGGUUUAGUUGACCGUUCAUAGCUGUGUGACCCAGGGCAGGUUAUCUGAUCUCUCUGUGCCUUAUCCCAUUUGAAAAGGAGAAUAAUUGUACCUGCCUCAUGGGAUUUUAGUGAGGAUUAAAUGGAUUGAUAAUUGAUUAUGUGAGUUAUUAUUACUAUGAUUUCUCCAUUGACAUAGGUACCUCUGUGCCUCAUGUGGGGAAAGAGGACUGUGAAGAAAUACUUGAAAUUUCUGCUUAAUGUCCCAUUUGCCUGAGUUCUGCUUAUCUGGUGAGAACAAGAGUUCUAAUUUGCAUUCCCUAGUAUUGCCCUACCAGAGGCUCAAUAAUGACUCCCUAAGCGAUACUCAUGCCCUAAUCCUUGGAAACUGUGAAUGUUGUCUUAUAUGGCCAAAGGGAAUUGAAGAUAUGAUUAUGCUGAGGAUCUUGCGAUGGUGAGAUGAUCCUAGAUUAUCUGGGUGUGCCCUAAAUGAAAUCAUAAGUACCCUCACAAGAUAGACACUUAUAAGCUGGGCACAGGUGCACACACCUGUAAAUCCCAGUGACUCAGGAGGUUGAGGCAGGAGGUUCAGAAGUUCAGAGGCCAGCCUCAGUAACUUAGGGAGGCCCUAAAGAAGUUGGUGAGACCCUGUCUCAAAAUAGAAAGUGAAAAGGAUCGGGGAUGUGGCUCAGUGGUAAAGUGUCCCUGGGUUAAUAGAUGUGUACAGAGAAGAGGACAGAGAAGAAAAGGAGCAAUGUGACCCCAGUGGCAGAGAAAGGUUUGAAGUGAGAACAGUCAAGAAAUACCUGGAGUCACCAGAGCUGGAUGAGACAAGAAAUGGGUCCUCCCCUGGAGCCUUAGGAGGGAGCACAGUCUUGCAUACUUUUUGAGUUUGGACUCUGGCCUCCGGAAACAUAGAAGAAUAAACUUCGGUUGUUUUAAGCCAUCCAGCCUGUGGCCAUGUGUGAUGGCGGUGGUAGAGGACCAAGACCAGCACCUAUUGGCGCUGUAGCUGGUGGAGCUGGGGGAAGCCACCAGGCCUGACGUGGACCCUGGGCGCUGCUGCUCCUGAGACCAAGGUCAAAGGGCAUCCCCUAAGAGCCACCAUUCCUGAGCCUGGGGACUCUCGCUGGGGGAGGUGGGUGGUGGCAGGCUGGGGAGGGGUGGUUGCCUCUCCAUCUCAUCCCAAAUUCUGAAACAGGGAUGGACAGUGAGCUCUGUGAGUGGAUGGCCAGUCAAUAGACGGCUCCCGUAAGGACACACAAGUGACAGGGAACAAAUACUCAGGGGUCCUGCCUGAGGGCUCCACCCCUCCCCUGCCUGCCUGUCCCCAGGGCUCUCACUCUCCCCCUCGGGCUCUUACUGGCUCAGGAUGUCUGUGGGCCCCCCGCUCUGCGCAGGGACCCGUGGUGAAGCCCUUCACCUGUAUUGAUCCAUCAUUCCUCCCAAACAUCCCGCGAAGCAGGUCCUCUGUUGGCCGUCUCACAGAUGCGGAGACUGACCUGGCUCGCUCAAGGUCCCCUGGCUGGCGAGAGGUGACUGGCUUUCAGGACAAGCUCUUCACCUCCCUGCGACCCACCAUGGCCCCUGCUCCUUGACCCCUCAGGCUCCUCAGGCGGAAGUUACCAGCCUGGGCUCCCUUGCUGCCUGUCCCAGCCUUCUCCCCACGAGAGGGACUUGUAGGUCCAUAAAUGGUGCGUGGAGAAGCCAUCCAGGUAGGGACAGCCUCCUCGUACAUGCCUGUCGGACACUUGCCAGAGGGGAUUGUAGAAAUGUUAGUUACAGGUCGCUGGGGACCAGGGAUAAAGGAACUUGCUCAACUGAUGCAGAAAUAGGAGAUAAGGUUAGGAGACCUGGUUCCAAAAUGGGGCCUUUUUUGUUUUCAUGGUCUUGUCAAUGUGGCAGGGUCACCCAUUUGGCUCAGCCCCUGCUGACUUUGGAUGGCCUGACAGAUCUGAGUCUAGAUGGCCCCCAGUUGAGCUAGAUGACUAUGGCAAGCUAGAAGGGACAUUCCAGGGGCUGGGACUGUGACUUCAGUGAGAAACCUCCAUCUCUCCCUCCACAGCAACUUUCCAACCAAGUGCUGAAGUUGGGGGUAGACUGGACUUCCUCGGGGAGAGCAAAAGAAUGAUGCCCACGGGCACGCCAGGGAUCCGGAAGCUUCCUUUUAGCCGGGCAAUGUUCCCGGGAUUCUAGCCCACUCUAUUCUAUUCUCUGGCCGUAGAGCUAAGAAUCGAAAUGGUUACAGACACCACAGGCUCAGCAGAAGUAAGUACGGAAGGAGCUGCAGGCUCUGGGGGUGCUGCACGUAAAGAUGGUCGGGGCUUGGGGCUUGAGAUUGUGGCUCAGAGGUAGAGUGCUCACCUAGCAUGCAUGAGGCCCUGGGUUCAAUCCUCAGCAUGACAUUAAAAAAAUAAAGAUAUGUGUCCACCCUAUAACUAAAAAAUAAAUAUUAAAAAAAAGAUGGUCAGGGCUCAGAGAGGGGCCACAGUUCAGAGGGGCUUUCUUACAUCAUUGCCGUGCACAGCACAGGGCCACCCCCGGAUUCUCUGUUGCACGCACCCAUUUCCAGAAACCAGGAGAUGUUACCACCAGACUGAGCUGCGAAUUGUGAAGGGAUGAUUCACAGAGCAGAAGCCUCUGGGCCACAGUCUAUGUCUUUUCAUAGGACUGUUAACUGGGCAGUGUAGACCUGUGGUCCUCAACGAGGGGUGAUUUUGCACCUUUGGGGACAUUUGGCAGUGUCCGGAGACACUUCUGGUUGUCACAGUUGAUGGGGGAAGUGCUAAGGGGUGCUGUAAAUAUCCUAUAAUGCAAAGGACAAAUCCACACAACAUCAAAUUGCCUGGUCCCAAAUGUCAGUAACUCUGAGGUUAGAAACCCUGGGCUAGCGCCACAGACUCAUGAGCAAAUUAAGCACUUAAUCCUUUGAUGACAACUGAAAAUUGCUAUGGUGGAUUUUGGACUCCAGGCUAUUUAAUAUUUUCCGUAGACAGCAUAAAAGCCUUCCUCGGGGCCUCCGAGACUCUUUCCAUAUCUUCGACACAGCAAAAAUUAAAAAUGUGACUUCAUUGUUAAGAGAAAGACACACACAUUUGAGUCAGCAGGCAUUUACUUUUUAGACUCAUAACCCACCUAAGACGCACAUUGAUUAAGACUCGAACACACGUGUGUCUUGCAAAAGAUGCGGCAUUGAUCUAUUUACAUGUCACAAUUUUGGUACUUUUCAUCCACUCACUGUACAAUUCUAAAAUCUCUCUCUCUCUCUCUCUCUCUCUCUCUCUCUCACACACACACACACACACACACACACACAAUUAGUAGACGCCAUCAACAUUGAAUCAUUGGAGGGACAUGAAUCUCCUCUACCACUUUCCUGAGUACUGGAGUGGACCAAGAGAAUUCAGGAGGUCUAAAAACCCACACCCUGGGUCCUCUAAUGAUCAAUAAUUUACCAGAAUACGUUUGUUUUUAAAAGUGUUGGAACUCUGCCUCACUCCCUACGACACAGGCAUGGGCAUUGGAAGGAGAUAAAGAUUUGAAUGUGGGGAAUCUGAAUGUGGGUGAUCGCAAAAGGGUGUAGGGCUAGGGGCACAUAUUUUCAUGGUUUAUCAGCAGAUUUCCUUGUGGUUCACCCAGAUUAAAUUCUUUCAAGUCCUUGGCCUGUGAGCUAGUACUAAUUUGAAUGAUAUUAUAUUUUUUCCACUUGAUUUACAAACAGAAUAAUUGUGGAUUUUUCUGGCUUAUUUUUCUUCUCAGCAUGAGCAGUCAACCAUAUGGUAAGGUAAUUAAUUGAGAUAUUAAUGUAUUUUUUUGUUCCUCCAGAAUUUUCCCCAUUCCGAUCCUCAGAGGGUAGCUGGGCCUGUUUCCUUGUCUCAGAUGGUGUUUAUGAUUCAGGGACAGUUUCUUCACUCCUUCCCUGGAUUCUUUGUUUCAAAGUCUAGAGCCAGGGAAGGAGUGUCAGGCAGGGGGAUUUGGCAGAAAGCAGGAAGUGCAUAAAGAAACAUAACAUUUGGGGGAAGCAUGAAGAUUCUCAGAUUAGGGAAGGAAAGUUGGCUGGGGUCCUUGUCUGGCCUGUUUCCUGGACAUGACCUGUGGUGAUGGAGGAUGCCUGGCGAAUGCCUAGGAAGACACAUUUUAGGUCUCAGAAAUCCAGCCUCAGCAAAUUAAUCUUGUGCUGGAGCUUGACACAGAAGCAACAGAGCUACCCACCUGCAUGAGCCCCAGUGAUGGAACAGGGAUGGGCUCCUUCCAAUGUCAUGCUGCCCAGACCUCAGAUAAUUACUCUAAAGGGGCUUGGGGAAAGGAGCUCUGGUAAUGACUGAGGUUGACUUUCCACCCAAUAUAAACUAAAAGGGGGCUUAGGAUCCCAUUUGAUUUGAUUUUUGAAAGAUAAAUCAGUAUUAUAUUUCUUUCUUGCUUGAGUUACUAGAGCAAAAUCCAUCUGUACUAUUUACCUGCUGUGUUAGUCAGGGUAGGUGAGGUUCUGCUACAGUAACAACUCAAUCCUGAAAUCUCAGUGACUUCACACAACAUAGGCUUAUUUGUCGACUAUGCUACUUGUCUAAUGAAGGUCAGUAGGGCUUCUGUUCUACAGAGUGACUCAGGGACCGUGCUUGAUGGACAUACCAAGAUCCCGACUUGUAACCUUCACGGUCAUCAGGGAAAGAAGAGAGAGGAACUGGAGGGUUCAGUACUGGCUCUGAAUUCUUUCAAAGGAAGUGAUGUACCUCAUUUCAGCUGGCAUCCCAUUGGCUACAGCUGGUCAUGUGACCCCACCUAACUACAAGGGGGCUGGGACUCCAUAAGGGAACAUGGAUUUGGUUGAGCUGUAAUGCACCUUUGGGGACAUUUGACAGUGUCCGGAGACACUUCUGUAAUGCCUCUGUUACAGCCUCUUGGUGCUUAAACACACAUGAUAUGUCUUUUUAUUUAAUACUAUUAAUGUGCAUGUGUGCAGAGCUUAAUCCAAAGGUAUUUUGAGGGGUUUGUCCCUUAUUCCAAUCCCCCUGGGGCCCUGAAAACUAAGGAAAUUAAGAUCCAUGAAAUAAAAUAGAGCAAGUGAAGAAGGACUCAAAGCUAAGUUUUUGACCUGACCCUUUUAUGCUCUUCCCUAGUGGCCACAGAGCAAGUGAUGCUUUGUCAUAAAUUUUAAUUUUGAUUGUGACUCCUUAAAGAGCGUGAUGGUGGUGUGGUGGGAGAAUCGCUGAACCUGCUUAUUUGUUUGCUGUUGAGAAAGCAAUGACUGUACCAAGAUUUUGUGAGGUUUUGCCAAACGGGCUGGUUUCCCAACAUGCACUUCCCUUCUGGUAAAAAAUACAAUUAUUUCUCCUUCUCAGAGAUGGCUUCAUGCUGUGUUGCAAUGGACCCCUUGUUUCCACUCUGGUCUAACUGGGUGCUGACCCCAUACUGCCCUCACAGGGCCAGAGCCCUGCUGGCCCCGCAGUUGAGUGAGACCUCCAGAUGGUGAUGUGGGGCUUCUGGGAAGGAUUUGAACAAGAUGGGGCUUAUCACGCACCCUUCCAGGGUGGGGGGACACAGGGGUUUCUGUCCCAGUGAGCAAAAAUCGGAUUGCAGAGGAAGAAGACCAAGAGGGGCCUCCAGGUGACAAUAAGGAGGACAGCGGGCUGACAGCAUAGCCUCAUCCUGCACCAGGCACUGUUUUCAGCACUUGGUAAAUUUAGCUCGUUUAACCCUCACAGAAACUCCUUACAAGGUCAGUAAUGUCAUCGUUAUCCCUGCCAUGGUAAAGACAGGGGGUCAGGUGAAGGCACGGAUGACUCAUUCAAGGUGGCACUCCUAGUAAGUGGCUGCACCGUGAUCAAACCCAAGCGUGAAAUCAGACUCUGGGUGAGAGAUUCCACCUAUAAUGAUUUUCCUUCUGAUUAUAAGAAGCCAAACACUUUUUUUUUGGUAUUAAAAAGUUUGUGUAUAGGAUAGAAAGAUUCAUGAUUUGGACCAUUUUUAAAUCUUCUGAUGAUUAUUGCCAACUUGCCUUCUAGAAAGGCCACAGCCGCCUACCUUAUCAUAUAGAAGGUUCUGGAAGAAUGCUGCCUCACUAAUCUCUGGACCCCUCACAGCACUGCCCACUAAACCUCCUGAGCGCAAGUCUUGUCUCCUAUAUGUUUCCAGGACCCGGCUUAAGACACAAGAUGAAGUUAAACUCAGUGUUAAAUUUCAGCUCUGGAGUCCCAAAGAUGUGAUGUUGAAAUCUCAAUUCCUGUGUACCCCAGCCCCUCGGAGCCACUUCCUUUAUCUGAAUAUGAGGAUAAUGACGGUAACUACUUAGGGGGUUGUCAUGAGGAUCAAAUGAGAUAGUGUGUAAAAACUGUGUUGAGCACAAAGUGCGGGACCAGGGUCAGCUGCCAGCCAUGUCACCAACCCUCCAGAAGCACGGUUAGAGGGGAAAGGUCUCCCAAGAACAGACAGCAGCCCGUUUAAUACAUGCUUUGUUGCAAGGAAAAAAACCAAAACAGAGGAGACCUAGAAUCUGCAAUGUGUGUGUGCGUGUGCAUAUGUGUGUGCGUGCUUAUGUGCGUGUGCGUGUGCAUAUGUGUGUGCGUGCUUAUGUGCGUGUGUGCAUUGUGUGUGGGUGCAUAGUUUCUGACACAGGUGCCCUGACUGCAGACUGAUGCUGUUUUCUCCCCACCUGGAAUCACCAGGUAUCUGACAUCACAGUGAUGGAGGGGAGAUCAACUUGUGUUUUCUGUCUGGAAAGACCAGCUGCAUUUAGGUCAAGGGAGGGCAAUGACCAGGCGGGAAGCACUAGUGCUUUUCCCUGGCCUUGGGAGACCACGGAUGCUGCUUCUCCAUCAGCAGCUAGAGCAUCGAAUAUAAAUGCAGGGGCCUGGAUAUCAAUAGGAAUCAUGUAACUCAGGGAACUAUUAUGGUCUGCAUGUGAAGUAUCCCUCAAAGACUCACGUGUUGAAGGCUUGGUCCCCAAGGAAGCAAUGUUCAGAGGUGGGGCUUUGGGGGAAGUGGUUGGCUCAUGAGGGCUCUAACCUCCUCAGUGAGUCAACCCAUCGAUUGCUCCGUGGACUAAUGGGAGAUGGUGGAAACUGUAGGCAGUGGGCAUGGUUGGAGGAAGAAGGUCACUAGGGACAUGGCCUUGGGAUUAUUGUCUUUUCCUGGUCCAUUCCUCUCUCUCUCUGUUUCCUGGCUGCCACAAAGUGAGCAGCUUUGCUCCUCCACAUCCUUCCGCCAUGACGUUCUGCCUCACCUCAGGUCCAAAGCAAUGGAGCCAGUCAACCAUGAUCUAACCCUAUGACACCAUGAGCCCAAAUAAUUUUUUCCUUCUUUAAGUUGUUUUUCUCAGGUUAUUUGUCACAGUGAUAAAAAGCUGACUAACAGGAUACAAGAGAAUAACCAACAAGUGAUCCUUCAUCUGCUGGUGGUUCAGCAUCAAAUGAAUGAGGAAUCCAGCUCUGUGCAUUAUCUACAAGCUCUGACUCUACCUCCCAGUCAUAUCUUGGGGGACACUUGGUGUAGAAUUUGGGGAACCACCUGAAUAAUUCCUCUCUCAACCUGAGUCAAUCCAUUCUCAAGGUAAUUAUAUUAACAAAGAACUUCUCCCCAAAUAGAUCAUAGUCAUAGCACCUGGGGAUUAGGACAUGGAUACAUCUUAUUUAUUUAUUUAUUUAGAGUCAUCUUUCAACCCCCCUAAAAUCCUUACGGAGCUUAUGAUCUAGUGACGUUAUUAUGAAGCAAAUCAAUAAACAAGAGGGCAUCAAGUGGCGUUAGGAUCCCUGAUGGGCUUGGAGAGAGAGAGAGCGCUGCUGUCUGCCCCUUUGGCUGGGGGAUUGGACAGGAAGAGCCAGAGAACCAGAAGGAGCCGGCUAAUCCUUUCCAGUGGGCCCCAACUACCCUGACUCAGCAGCCUCUGAAUCUAUACCUUCAUGAGUAAAUAAUUCUUCUGGAUAAGUUGGGCACAGCAGCCCCUGCCUGACGCAUGAAGAGCAAAGACAUUUUUUUUUUUUUUAAUGCAUGCAGAUAAAAAUGGCUUUACUAUCACAAACCACAGGAGGCCUUAACAGCCCACUGGCUCUGUGACUGCCAAAAAACAAGGGCUGCCGAUCAACUGCUCUAAAUCCAAGCUCAUCGUUUUUGGCUGAUUUCUCCCACCUUUUAAUGGGUUCAUGGUUAAUAAGAGAGCAGAAUGCCGCCUCACCGUGAACUGGGGUGUUCAGUUUGCAAUGCAAUCAACUGGAGGGGCCACUGAUAAAUUAACCAUCCAAUGGCUGCUUUAUGGAUGAUUUCCAUUUGGUUAUAAUCCAUUUGAAUAUUUUUCCAGCUCCCAAACUUGCAGACACGUUCCAUGGUGUAUUGAUGAUUGAUUACCCUUCGGCUCGUCAUAGCAGAUCCAAAAGUAUAAUCCAAGGAGAAUCCAGGCUGGCCUUUGGACCUUUGGCCCUUUUCUGGACAGUGGUCAGUGGCUUUGAGUCUGCAAGUCUAUUCCAUGUGACUCCACAACCUACAUCAAGAGCCUGUUGUUCCUGACUCCAAGUCCAGCUAGUUACCAAGUCUGUUCCUCUGCAUUGAGUGACGACCCGGGAAAGCGCCGUUCAGAUGCUGCCGGGAAUUUUAUCCUAAAUGCACUGUCACUCAAUGCUGACCAGAGGCCGUGAGAUAAAGGUGAGGCUCGUGCAGGACAGCCCAAGAGAUCCAACUGCUGCCACUGCUUUGGAACCUCAAGGCUUUAAAUUCUUUCCUCCAGUGAGACAAUCCAGCAGGCACAAGGACCAGGCCUGGUUGUGGAGCCUCUAUCUAUGGAUGUGGUUUUACGCUCUGGGGCACAGCGCCAUCUGCUAUGCCGAGGGAUGCGCUAAGAGCCUCCACUGGGAAACUCCCUUAGGGAUGUGGUGGAGGAUGCCAGUCCUUCCACCGACCGCACUGGUCCUCUCUGGUGUGGGGAAGACUGCAGAAGACUUUUCUGAGUCUCCACUGGGAAUCACCACAUUCUUGUGUGCCCCUCGCUGGUUUUGACCUAAUAGACGCAGCUGGUGGGGCAGGUUUUCAUGGCAAACAUUCUGAGAGAAUCCUCACUCCCGGCCCUAUUGUCUUAAGUAUCCUUAUUUUCCUUUUGGCCCAAUUUUUUCAACCAUUUUACAUUUAUUUUAUAUUGCAGCAUUUCAUGAUUAUUUUAUGAUCUAUCUAAAAGACUGUCUAACAUAUAAUCUUUGAUUCUCUUUUAUCUAUAAGAUUAAAAAAACAUUGUUUUAAAGUUA